AAAACCCCUCCUCUUCCAUUACUGGCUCCGCGCCAGAUGGCAUCCAUCACAAUUAGAGAGGAAAUGGGAACCAGGCGGCUGGCAAGGCUGAGUUCGGCUAGGGCAGGGGUCUGCAACCUUAAACACUCAAAAACCCAUUUGGACCCGUUUCCCACAGAAAAGAAAACACCGGGAGCCACAAAACCCUUCCCGUGCCUGACUAUUUCUUGAGCGGCCACACAACUAGCAUAUGUAAUUGAAUUAAACGUUCUGUUUUCUUCUGAAA